UGUGUACCUCGUUUCAUGUUUUUCAUUCAUGUUUAAUCUGCUUCCUGUUUUAUUUUGUAAAUCCUCUCCUCAUGUGUUGUAUUUGGUUUUACUUCCUGUCUUUGUGUGUUUUCCCGCCUGUUUUCUGUCACACCUGUCUCAUUAGUCCUUCCCUGUUCCCAGAGAGGCCGUUUACAUGUACACGGUGAUUUUGAUAAACGGAGACAUCUUCCUUCGUUUGUGCCCUUCGUCUCCUCUGAAAACGAGUCUUUCUAAAAACUCCGGCCAGAGUGGAGAUUUUGGAAAACUCCGGUUGCGUGUUUGCAUGUAAACUGAGAUAAAUGGAGUUAUAGGCAGCCCACGUCACAGUAUGCGCCGGAACUUGCGCCUGUGUCAAAAGUGCGACCUAUGUUGCUAUGGUGACAAUGGAUACAUGGAAGGCUUGAGCUUCUCGUUACACUGCCACCUACAGGUUUGGCAUGCUCUUGUGUAUAUAUACACGGGUAAGUGUAAACGAAGAUCUUUUUGAAAACGGAGACGGUGAAAUGUCCGUUUAUGAAAAUAGCUGGCAACGUGUAAACGGCCUCAGAGUCUUCUGGUUUUCUGGCAGUUUUCUUUUUAACGUCGGUGAUGCAGAACAUUUCAGUAAGGCCACUGUAUGCAGAGCUGUGAGAAAAGUGAGACUUGCGCUGAAAUGUCUGCUAAACUUUUUUGUUGUGUUCCCUGGGUACAAACCUGUGAGAGUCAUCAAGGAGGAGUUCCACAGGAUUGCAGGAUUUCCCGGUGUGAUUGGCUGCAUAGAUGGAACACACAUUCCCAUCACGGCUCCCUCACAUAAUGAAGCCGAUUAUGUGAAUAGGAAGUCCAUUCACAGCAUUAAUGUGCAGGAUCAUAUGUGAUGCAGCCCACAUCAUAACCAAUGUGGAGGCCAAGUGGCCUGGGUCUGUUCAUGACUCGAGGAUAUAUCGCGAGUCUAAACAGACUGCAACGUGGAGAGUUUGAUGGCCUUCUGCUGGGUGACAGGGGUUACCCAUGCCAGCCUACGUUACUGACCCCUUACCCUGACCCUGAACCAGGCCCCCAACAGAACUUCAACCGGGCUCACUGCAGGACGAGAGCCAAGGUGGAGAUGACCGUAGGCCUACUGAAAGCCCGUUUCCAGUGCCUACGUCACCUCAGGAUGACCCCUGAGAGGGCCUGUGACAUUAUUGUGGCAUGUGUUGUUCUUCAUAAUAUUGCCACAAUUAGAGGACAGCAACACCCUGCCCUACAAAUUGAAGACCCUGAUGAUGACCCCAUCCACCCUGCAGACAUCCAGGAUGGCAGAGCAGUCAGAGACAUCAUAUGCCAGAAUCACUUCACUGUUUAAAUCACAAUCACCACCACCCAGAGCAGUCAA